rnacentral:tRNA from 1 species
GGUGACUCAGUGGUAGAGUGCUUGCCUCACAUGCAUAAGGCCCUGGGUUCGAUUCCUUAGCACCA